AGUUUUGUAGCCUCUUGUGACCUUCUACUUGUUUUCUUUUAAGUAGGUAAGAAGAACCCACCUGCUGAAGACAAAGUUGUGUUAACACACAUGAAGAUACUGAGCAAUGAAGGAAUUCAAAACCCAGGGUUAAUCCCUGAGGCUCCAUCUGACAUAGCCUGCACAGAAGAGCCCCAUCUCCCCAGUGCCAGCCUCCCACUGGACUGCCAGGGAAAUCCGAAUGCAGCAGCUGCACCAGCAGAUCCAGAAUAUGCAGAUGCCCCAGCAAGCACAGACUAUGUAGCCACAUUGCCUGACCUCAGCACCUUCGAGUCCAAGUGCCGACUUCACAGAUUCUCCAAAUUUGAAUCCGAGGACUCAGGGGUUGAAUUGCCAAGUGGAGCUAAUUCUCCAUCAACACCAACAGGUUCAGAGAAGAGCUUUGUGCUUCACAGCAGAGAUUCAUUUUGUGAUUCAGGUGUGCUUAGCACCUCUUCUUCUCCAGAAAUUGACCAUCCUAUAAUGAAAACAUGUAAAGAGCAUGACAGAAAAGUCAGCCACCAAGAUCCAGAGAGUGAAAAGCAAGCUGAGUACUAUGGACAGGAGGCAGAUGCUGUGCAGGGUCCUACAGCUUCCCUUGAAGACUUCAGCAUCCCUCAGGAAGAAAGUCCUGAUGAACAUUUUGAAGAAAGUGAAAGGCAAUCUCUGGAAAAGGAACCUACCCCAGAGAUGGAUCUUUCCAGGGAAAGCACUCUUCCCACCCCAGUUCCCAUAGAAGAGCCAAAGACAAUUGCUGAUAAUUUCCCAGAGAACUUUGGCAGCAUUCAAGACCUUCAGAUCCAUGAACAUCAGCUGAAGAAGUACCCCACAAGUGACAGUCUGGAUGAAUACAUGGAUGAAUGCUGUAGACUGAGUGAGGUGAACCAAGGUAACAGCAAAGCCCUAGGAUCUGGUCUGGGAUACCUGGAACACAUUUGCCAACUGAUUGAGAAGAUUGGGCAGCUCCAGGAGCACAACUUGCGUCUCCAAAAGCAAGUGUGCAGCUUGCAGAAAGAGCAGAAGAUGAGCCAGAUAAAAGAGGAGUAUCUUCUGCAGCACUGCUCCUGUGGAGCUGCCAGCAUCUUCCUCAACUCAUAUCAAGACUCAAAGGCAUUUUUUUCUGGGAGAAGCAGACCUCACAGCCUUAUGGUUCAGACUGGAAAUCCUUCUGAUCUUUCCAUCAUUCCAGAAAUAGGAGUGAACACUGAAAAGCUGAGCAGCUGCAACGGAAGUGAGAGAUACCUGGAAUCAGGAAACAGCCAGCUGAUGGUGGGGCUCAGGAAAUCGUCAAACAAUAGGAACAACAAGGAGAAUGAGUUCAGAGAAGCUGGUAGUAUGGCUGAAGGACAGGCUUUUCCAUCAAAGGACCCUGCAGUAAGAAAGGGUCUGGACAUCAGCAAGAACAUCUCGGGUGAGAGCCAUGCUUGGGGGAGAAUGAGAGAUCUUAUGAGGAAGACACGGCUGAGAAACCAGAACAAGCUAGGACUGUCCUCUGCUGCUCUGAAGAGGUCCUGCCCACAGCUGUACAGGCCAGAUAUUAUGUCUUCAGAGCUGAGGAAAACUGAGAGGAACUCCAUGAUCAUUCUGGGGCAAAAUACAAAGAAUGAAAACAUAUGGCCUUUCUGAUAACCUGAAUUAAAUGGAACAAGGUAAAAUAAGUAAAGCAGCAUGUGUUUCUUUGCGGGUUGGGUUUUUUUUUUGCCUCUUCUCAGCACGGAAAUGAGACAGU
rnacentral:lncRNA from 1 species